rnacentral:tRNA from 1 species
GGGGCUGUGGCUCAGUGGUAGAGCACUCGCCUAGCAUGUGUAAGGCACUCGGUUCGAUUCUCAGCACCA